UACGUAGGCAGCAAGCGUUGUUCGGAGUUACUGGGCGUAAAGGGUGUGUAGGCGGUUAUUUAAGUUUGGUGUGAAAUCUCCCGGCUCAACCGGGAGGGUGCGCCGAAUACUGAAUGAUUUGGAGUGCGGGAGAGGAAAGUGGAAUUCCUGGUGUAGCGGUGAAAUGCGUAGAUAUCAGGAGGAACACCGGUGGUGUAGACGGCUUUCUGGACCGUAACUGACGCUGAGACGCGAAAGCGUGGGGAGCAAACAGG
rnacentral:rRNA from 1 species